rnacentral:rRNA from 1 species
CCCUGCUUCCAGGAAAAGCCUCUAAGCCUCAGGUAACAUCAAAUCGUACCCCAAACCGACACAGGUGGUCAGGUAGAGAAUACCAAGGCGCUUGAGAGAACUCGGGUGAAGGAACUAGGCAAAAUGGUGCCGUAACUUCGGGAGAAGGCACGCUGACACGUAGGUGAAGUGGUUUACCCAUGGAGCUGAAGUCAGUCGAAGAUACCAGCUGGCUGCAACUGUUUAUUAAAAACACAGCACUGUGCAAACACGAAAGUGGACGUAUACGGUGUGACGCCUGCCCGGUGCCGGAAGGUUAAUUGAUGGGGUCAGCGCAAGCGAAGCUCCUGAUCGAAGCCCCGGUAAACGGCGGCCGUAACUAUAACGGUCCUAAGGUAGCGAAAUUCCUUGUCGGGUAAGUUCCGACCUGCACGAAUGGCGUAAUGAUGGCCAGGCUGUCUCCACCCGGGACUCAGUGAAAUUGAACUCGCUGUGAAGAUGCAGUGUACCCGCGGCAAGACGGAAAGACCCCGUGAACCUUUACUAUAGCUUGACACUGAACACUGGUCCUUGAUGUGCAGGAUAGGUGGGAGGCUUUGAAGUGUGGACGCCAGUCUGCAUGGAGCCAUCCUUGAAAUACCACCCUUUAAUGGCUGGUGUUCUAACGUGGGCCCGUGAACCGGGUUGCGGACAGUGUCUGGUGGGUAGUUUGACUGGGGCGGUCUCCUCCUAAAGAGUAACGGAGGAGCACGAAGGUUGGCUAAUCCUGGUCGGACAUCAGGAGGUUAGUGCAAUGGCAUAAGCCAGCUUGACUGCGAGCGUGACGGCGCGAGCAGGUGCGAAAGCAGGUCAUAGUGAUCCGGUGGUUCUGAAUGGAAGGGCCAUCGCUCAACGGAUAAAAGGUACUCCGGGGAUAACAGGCUGAUACCGCCCAAGAGUUCAUAUCGACGGCGGUGUUUGGCACCUCGAUGUCGGCUCAUCACAUCCUGGGGCUGAAGUAGGUCCCAAGGGUAUGGCUGUUCGCCAUUUAAAGUGGUACGCGAGCUGGGUUUAGAACGUCGUGAGACAGUUCGGUCCCUAUCUGCCGUGGGCGCUGGAAGAUUGAGGGGGGCUGCUCCUAGUACGAGAGGACCGGAGUGGACGCAUCACUGGUGUUCGGGUUGUCAUGCCAAUGGCACUGCCCGGUAGCUACAUGCGGAAGAGAUAAGUGCUGAAAGCAUCUAAGCACGAAACUUGCCCCGAGAUGAAUCUUCCCUGAGCCUUUAAGGCUCCUGAAGGAACGUUGAAGACGACGACGUUGAUAGGCCGGGUGUGUAAGCGCAGCGAUGCGUUGAGCUAACCGGUACUAAUGAACCGUGAGGCUUAACCUU